rnacentral:rRNA from 1 species
GAUGAACGCUGGCGGCGUGCCUAAUACAUGCAAGUCGAGCGAACGGACGAGAAGCUUGCUCCUCUGAUGUUAGCGGCGGACGGGUGAGUAACACGUGGAUAACCUACCUAUAAGACUGGGAUAACUUCGGGAAACCGGAGCUAAUACCGGAUAAUAUUUUGAACCGCAUGGUUCAAAAGUGAAAGACGGUUUUGCUGUCACUUAUAGAUGGAUCCGCGCCGCAUUAGCUAGUUGGUAAGGUAACGGCUUACCAAGGCAACGAUGCGUAGCCGACCUGAGAGGGUGAUCGGCCACACUGGAACUGAGACACGGUCCAGACUCCUACGGGAGGCAGCAGUAGGGAAUCUUCCGCAAUGGGCGAAAGCCUGACGGAGCAACGCCGCGUGAGUGAUGAAGGUCUUCGGAUCGUAAAACUCUGUUAUUAGGGAAGAACAAAUGUGUAAGUAACUGUGCACAUCUUGACGGUACCUAAUCAGAAAGCCACGGCUAACUACGUG